AGUGAACGCUGGCGGUAGGCCUAACACAUGCAAGUCGAACGGCAGCACAGUAAGAGCUUGCUCUUACGGGUGGCGAGACGCGGACGGGUGAGGAAUACAACGGACUCUACUUUUUCGUGGGGGAUAACGUAGGGAAACUUACGCUCAUACCGCAUACGACCUACGGGUGAAAGCAGUGGAUCUUCGCACCUUGCGCGAAUGAAUUAGCCGAUGUCGGAGUUGCUAGUUGGCGGGGUAAAGGCCCACCCAGGCGCCGAUCCGUUGCUGGUCUGAGAGGAGGGUCGGCCGCCUGGGAACUGGGACACGGUCCAUGCGCCUACGGGAGGCAGCAGUGGGGAAUAUUGGACAAUGGGCGGAAGCCUGAUCCAGCCAUACCGCGUGGGUGAAGAAGGCCUUCGGGUUGUAAAGCCGUUUUGUUGGGAAAGAAAAGCAGCAGGUUAAUACCCCGCUGUUCUGACGGUACCCAAAGAAUAAGCACCGGCUAACUUCGUG
rnacentral:rRNA from 1 species